AGAAAAGAAGGCGAGAGAGAGAGAGAGCAAAUUUUGACAGAAAAUAGAGUACCUGCAAAUUUCUACUGGGAUUUUUUUUGCCAGCAGAAAUUUGCAACUUUGAACAGAUGUUUUGUAAAGGUCAGCUGUUUUAUGAAAAGCAGCCGUUACAUGCAAACACAAAAGCUAACGCCAAAAUGGAUCAAAAAGGCAGAGAUUCAUGGCAGCAGCUAGUGUUCAGGUUGAGAAAACUCGACAAAUCAAGUUGUAAUAUUACCUGAAGUCAGUUGUUCUACAUUAGAAGAUAACGAGAAAAGAGCAAUUAUCGAUUUCUUAAGCGAUUUGAUGGAAUAAUCCUCAUCGGAGAGCUACGGUGAAACUAACACCGCUCCUUUGAAUUUGUUAAGGAGGGAAGAUGCCGCCAUGGGAUUAAGUGGGUCUGGCUGGGCAGUUAAAAGUGACGUACAUUGGGAUUGGUGAAAAUUAGUGCAAAUUAGUCUGCCAAUUGUGAACGGAUACAGAUGUCUUCAAUGAUAACAAAUUGUCCGUAGUCGCCACAUGAGCAAGUAGAAAGCUCUCUUAGCCUCACAUAAGUGUUCGUAGCAAUUUAUCUAGCCACAAUAUCCAAAAGCAUUAGAUGGUUAGUCCAAGGUAUUUUUGUCAGCACACCAAGUGUACUUUUGUAUACGGUGAUGGUAUGUAAAGCAGUUGUAGUCCUAUGCAGCCUUCGAAAUGCAUGCUGAUGCUCGGCGAAUGGAAAUUGUCCAACAAGAGGAGCGGGAGGAGUAGUCCCUCAUGCGUCUUGGCUACUGAUGAGAUAAGGGGGAUCGGUCUGUACGACUCUCCCUUACAUGUGUCCUUUUCAGGUUUUAGUAGCGGAAUCAGACUGCCCAUCUUCGAAACAUCGGGUAUUAUGAUAGUGUUCAGAUAGGCUGAGGAAAGUUGUAAGGUAAUUGAUUCCAGGAAGAUCCAGAUUCUUCAGCAUCAGUGUAGAAAUUCUGUCUGGAACCAGCGCUUUGCGCGACUUGGCGCCACAGAUAUUGCACGGUUAUUGUUGUUGUUGUAACAGUUUGUUGUACACUGAAAGACUCCAUCGGGCCAAUACGGUACGUACAACGGCCUGCCAUGGGAUUGCACGGUAAUUUGUGACGGCUGUCAUGUGGCACGGAGAUCACGGAUAUACAAACGGCUCCCCCUGACGUUUAUCUAAGGGAAAUACCUCACAAGUAUCGCCAGCAUUUUUUAUUUUAAUUAAA